AGCUUCAGGACAGAUCUUCAUCAUCCCUGACUUUAGAGCUGAACACAGUGGGAGUUAUUACUGUGAAGCCAAGAACAGCAAAGGAAGUCAUCGCUCCGCCUUACAUCUGACUGUAGGGGCAGAUUGGAAAUUAAUAGCCGCUGGAACGGUCACUGCCACCAUUUUAACUGGUGUCAUACUCAUCUUUGUCUUGCUGUGGAUCAAGAAAAAGAGGGCCCACACGCAAUCACCCGAGCCAGCAGAGAAACCAGACAACAGUUCACAGAAACAACCAGCGGAGCAAGAGGAUAACCUUCAUUAUGCCAGAGUCCAUUUCUCUAAGAAACAAGCUGAUCCUCUCUUCUGCAACACAGCUCAGCUCCAAAAACGCGGGAGGGAAGAGGAGGUGGGCAGCGUGGAGUACACUACUUUGAAAUUUAACAGUGGCAGCAAUGCCCCCGGGUGAGCAGCUCUUCAUGCGAGAACAUUAUCCUCCUCAUAGGAUGAAAAGUAGAGUUUACUUUUUCUGAUCCGUGGUUAAUAAAAUUGUUUAAAACAGUUGCAACAAACUUCUUACACACUGAUUCAAGAAAAUAAAUUAAGCCGGCAUUUCGUUUUAAUUGCGUAGAAAUGUAAAAUCAACAAAGCUGUUGAUAUCUGUCGUCAUUUUUGGCUUAACUGUAACAUUCAAAAACAUAUAAUUAAACACACAGAUUUGCUACUGUGCUUACUAAGGGUGUAACGAUUCAUCGAUUUGGAUCAAUAUAUUGAUUCAAUAAGCAAUAAUCAUCGAUACAAUGUGUAAACAUCGAUCCAUACCAUCCUCUUUUGGAUGUGCCCUAAUUUUGAAAAUUUGUGUCACUGUCGCACGGCGUCAGGCAAACGAACCGUGCAGCGAAGAGAAAGAUGACGAUGAGAACGUAAUUAUUUCUCAGAAAUAAAUCAUCAGUGUGGAAAUAUUUUGUUUUCGGAGAAACUCAGGGUUAACAGACAGAGCACACGUCUUACCUAAAUAAAAGCCGCACACAGGAAACGUCACUCCGCUGCCGGGCAUCUCGCUUUGCUAACUUAUGCAACAACAUUGAGCUGCUCAGUUUGAAAAAUAUUGGGCUGCAAAGACGUGCAUGCAGCAUCCGUGCUGUUCUGUCGAGAGAUGCGAUGACUUAAACUAGAGGUAGGUAAGAGGAAGUAUAAAUUAUACAUGCAAACUGUUUAAGUUGUGAGCAGAGAAAAAGUCCAUCAAAUUUAACAUGUUGUAUAUGUGGGAGAAACAUUGCUCACAAGAGACAGUUGUUAGUCUGUGAUCGUUGAUAGUUAUUAUUGAGCCUGAGUUUUACACUUUUGUUAAAAUAUCUUGUUAAUGCAGAUUUACAGAAGCCCUAAAAGGCAAGUGAGAAACAUUUUUUUCUAA